CCGUCCCGCUUUCCCUUGCUUCACUCUGAUUGGUCGGCUCUAGUUCAAACCUCAGGCCCCCUGGUGCCCAUAGAAACAGGGCUGCCCGUGCCGUUUGCCUGUUGCUGCAAAAUAAAAGAGAGGGCGGUGUUCUGUCAAAAGUUCCAUCAUGUCACGCUGCCCGUGUGGAAGUGUUUGAGGUGAGGAGAGGCGGGGCGGUGUGUACACAGGGUGGUACAGACAGGACUCCGGAAACGGCCAGCAGAACAACACACAAGGCCUAUUGAUGGGAGAUGAGAGGGAGCUUUCUGUUGUGUGAGAAGAACGCAUAAGCCGGGAGUGCAGCGUGUGUAUCUGUAACGUUUCCCACAAACAUUUUUCAAUUUUACGCGACUGUCUGUACCAACGUUUCAAUUUUUGUUGGAAAAGUUGCAUCCCCGUUUGGAAAGGAUGAACACGGAUAUGAGAUGUUGUGUGCCUCCAGAGGAGCGACUUCUACUUACCCUGAGGUUUCUGGCAUCUGGACUAUCCUAUACGUCCCUAAACCACUAUUUUUUUGUUGGGAACCUCUACAAUAUCCGGAAUUGUGCAUGACACCUGUCAAGCAAUAUGGGACGAGCUUCGGUGUACUGCGAUGCCUGUUCCAGAUACAUGCAUGUGGCAGGAAAUAGCAAAUGGUUUUUGAAAGAAAACCCAAUUCCCUAAUUGUGUUGGAGCCCUGGAUGGGAAACGCAUCCGAAUUCAGAUGCCACCUGGAUCUGGCUCACAAUAUUUUAACUACAAGAAAUACUUCUCCCUUGUGCUUAUGACAAUCUGUGAGAGUGAUUAUAAGUUUGUUGCUGUAGAUAUUGGGGCAUAUGGAUGUACUGCAGACUCAAGAGUGUUUACAGCAUCGCAAAUGGGGAGAAGACUACUUGAGGGCCACUUUCAUUUGCCAUCAGACAAACAUCUUCCAGGAACUGUAGGGCCAGAUAUGCCACAUGUGCUUGUAGCUGAUGAGGCAUUUGCACUUUCUCGGCAUCUCCUAAGGCCUUAUGCCAGGCACAAUCUAACUCCCCCCCCCCAAAAAAAAUGUUUUAAUUAUCGGUUGAGUCGUGCAAGGCGCCUUAUUGAAUGCAUCUUUGGCAUUUUGACCAGCAAGUGGCGCAUAUUCCAUACAACAAUAUAACUCAGCCUGGAGAAUGCCCAACUAGUUAUACAAGCAUGCUGUGUCCUCCAUAACAUUAUAUGUGAAAAAGAAGGAAUUACUGUUGAGGAAGAGGACGAGAUCAAUUUACCUUCUGUAUGGUUUACCGGACUGCGACCCAACAAUUCAGUCGUUGCCAUGCGUGAUACGUUUGCAAACUAUUUUAUGUCCCCAGAGGGAGAGGUUCCGUGGCAGUAUCGGCAUGUGUAAAAACUCUCACCAGGCACUUUAUUAUGUGCAACUUGCUAGUACCAUGUUUGACCCCAUUUUGCUACCCUGCAAUAUAUUUGUUUUCCCACAGAAAAUGGAAAUGCAAUAGUUUAACCACUUGCCGCCCGCCAAUGACAUAUUGACGGCGGCAAAGUGGUUGUAGAAU